rnacentral:rRNA from 1 species
UUCAACGGCCGCGGUAUCCUAACCGUGCGAAGGUAGCGUAAUCACUUGUUCUUUAAAUGAGGACUAGUAUGAAAGGCAUCACGAGGGUUAUACUGUCUCCUUUUUCUAAUUAGUGAAACUAAUCUCCCCGUGAAGAAGCGGGGAUCUUUAUAUAAGACGAGAAGACCCUAUGGAGCUUUAAAUAAUAUAACAAUUGCUACUUUAUUUCUAUUAACUUUAUAUUAUCUAGCAAUAUGAUUAUUAAUUUUUGGUUGGGGUGACCGCGGAGCAUAACAUAACCUCCAUAUUGAAAGGAUAAUUUUCCUAAGCUAAAAGCAACAACUUUAUGCAUCAAUAAAUUGACAUCAAUUGACCCAAUAUAUUUGAUCAACGAACCAAGUUACCCUAGGGAUAACAGCGCAAUCUACUUUAAGAGCCCAUAUCGACAAGUAGGUUUACGACCUCGAUGUUGGAUCAGGGUAUCCUAGUGGUGCAGCCGCUACUAAUGGUUCGUUUGUUCAACGAUUAAAACCCU